rnacentral:rRNA from 1 species
GACGUAGGGCGCAAGCGUUAAUCGGAAUUACUGGGCGUAAAGCGUGCGCAGGCGGCUUUGCAAGUCAGAUGUGAAAUCCCCGGGCUUAACCUGGGAACUGCAUUUGUGACUGCAUGGCUGGAGUGCGGCAGAGGGGGAUGGAAUUCCGCGUGUAGCAGUGAAAUGCGUAGAUAUGCGGAGGAACACCGAUGGCGAAGGCAAUCCCCUGGGCCUGCACUGACGCUCAUGCACGAAAGCGUGGGGAGCAAACAGG